rnacentral:rRNA from 1 species
AGCAGCCGCGGUAAUUCCAGCUCCAAUAGCGUAUAUUAAAGUUGUUGCAGUUAAAAAGCUCGUAGUUGAAUUUCGAGACCGGCUUACUGGUCGUGCUAUUGUACGUACUGGUAUAAUCGGUUUCUCCUUUCUGACGAACUAUAAUGCCAUUAAUUUGGUGUUAUAGGGAAUCAGGACUGUUACUUUGAAAAAUUAGAGUGUUUAAAGCAGGCUCACGCUUGAAUACAUUAGCAUGGAAUAACGGAAUAGGACGUUUGAUUCUAUUUUGUUGGUUUCUAGGAUCGACGUAAUGAUUAAUAGGGAUAGUUGGGGGCAUUAGUAUUCAAUUGUCAGAGGUGAAAUUCUUGGAUUUAUUGAAGACUAACUACUGCGAAAGCAUUUGCCAAGGAUGUUUUCAUUAAUCAAGAACGAAAGUUAGGGGAUCGAAGACGAUCAGAUACCGUCGUAGUC